GAUGAACGCUGGCGGCGUGCUUAACACAUGCAAGUCGAACGAAGCAAUAUUACAGAAACCUUCGGGUGGAAGAAAUAUUGACUGAGUGGCGGACGGGUGAGUAACGCGUGGGUAACCUGCCUCAUACAGGGGGAUAACAGUCAGAAAUGGCUGCUAAUACCGCAUAAGCGCACGAGAUCGCAUAGUCUAGUGUGAAAAGCUCCGGCAGUAUGAGAUGGACCCGCGUCUGGUUAGCUAGUUGGUAAGGUAACGGCUCACCAUGGCGACGAUCAGUAGCCGGACUGAGAGGUCGAUCGGCCACAUUGGGACUGAGAUACGGCCCAGACUCCUACGGGAGGCAGCAGUGGGGAAUAUUGGGCAAUGGGCGAAAGCCUGACCCAGCGACGCCGCGUGGAGGAAGGAGGUUUUCGGAUUGUAAACUCCUGUCUUCGGGGAAGAUAAUGACGGUACCCGAGGAGGAAGCCACGGCUAACUACGUGCCAGCAGCCGCCGUAAUAC
rnacentral:rRNA from 1 species